rnacentral:rRNA from 1 species
AUUGAACGCUGGCGGCAUGCCUUACACAUGCAAGUCGAACGGUAACGCGGGGCAACCUGGCGACGAGUGGCGAACGGGUGAGUAAUGCAUCGGAACGUGCCCAGUUGUGGGGGAUAACUGCUCGAAAGAGCAGCUAAUACCGCAUACGACCUGAGGGUGAAAGCGGGGGAUCGCAAGACCUCGCGCAAUUGGAGCGGCCGAUGUCGGAUUAGCUAGUUGGUGGGGUAAAGGCCCACCAAGGCCACGAUCCGUAGCUGGUCUGAGAGGACGACCAGCCAAACUGGGACUGAGACACGGCCCAGACUCCUACGGGAGGCAGCAGUGGGGAAUUUUGGACAAUGGGCGCAAGCCUGAUCCAGCCAUGCCGCGUGCGGGAAGAAGGCCUUCGGGUUGUAAACCGCUUUUGUCAGGGAAGAAAUCUUCUGGGUUAAUACCUCGGGAGGAUGACGGUACCUGAAGAAUAAGCACCGGCUAACUACGUGCCAGCCGCCGCGGUGACAC